UACGUAGGGUGCGAGCGUUGUCCGGAAUUACUGGGCGUAAAGAGCUCGUAGGUGGUUUGUCGCGUUGUCCGUGAAAACUCACAACUCAAUUGUGGGCGUGCGGGCGAUACGGGCAGACUGGAGUACUGCAGGGGAGACUGGAAUUCCUGGUGUAGCGGUGAAAUGCGCAGAUAUCAGGAGGAACACCGGUGGCGAAGGCGGGUCUCGUGGGCAAUAACUGACGCUGAGGAGCGAAAGCGUGGGGAGCGAACAGG
rnacentral:rRNA from 1 species